AUAUCAAUAAGCGGAGGAAAAGAAACCAACCGGGAUUGCCUCAGUAACGGCGAGUGAAGCGGCAAAAGCUCAAAUUUGAAAUCUGGCCUGUGGUCCGAAUUGUAAUUUGAAGAAGCGACUCUGGUACCGGCCCUUGUCUAUGUUCCUUGGAACAGGACGUCACAGAGGGUGAGAAUCCCGUGCGAUGGGGAGUCCGGAGCCAUGUAGAGCGUUUUCGACGAGUCGAGUUGUUUGGGAAUGCAGCUCUAAGUGGGUGGUAAAUUCCAUCUAAAGCUAAAUACAGGCGAGAGACCGAUAGCGAACAAGUACUGUGAAGGAAAGAUGAAAAGAACUUUGAAAAGAGAGUGAAAAAGUACGUGAAAUUGUUGAAAGGGAAGGGCUUGGGAUCAGACUUUGUAUUUCCAUGGCGUUCUCUCGGGAGCGUCCUCUGGGUUUACGGGGCCAGCAUGGGUUCUGCGGGCAAGACAAGGGGGACAGGAAUGUGGCUCUGCCUCGGCGGAGUGUUAUAGCCUGGCCUUUUCCGGUUGCCACGCGGGACUGAGGACUGCGAAUCUAGGAUGCUGGCAUAAUGAUCUUAAGCCGC
rnacentral:rRNA from 1 species